rnacentral:rRNA from 1 species
GACGAACGCUGGCGGCGUGCUUAACACAUGCAAGUCGAACGGAAAGGCCCUGCUUUUGUGGGCUGCUCGAGUGGCGAACGGGUGCGUAACACGUGAGUAACCUGCCCUUGACUUUGGUAUAACUUCAGGAAACUGGGGCUAAUACCAGAUAGGAGCUCCUGCUGCAUGGUGGGGGUUGGAAAGUUUCGGCGGUUGGGGUUGGACGCGCGGCUUAUCAGCUUGUUGGUGGGGUAGUGGCUUACCAAGGCGUUGACGGGUAGCCGGCCUGGGAGGGUGACCGGCGACAUUGGGACUGAGGUACGGCGCAGACUCCUACGGGAGGCAGCAGUGGGGAAUAUUGCACAAUGGGCGGAAGCCUGAUGCAGCAACGCCGCGUGCGGGAUGACGGCCUUCGGGUUGUGAACCGCUUUCGCCUGUGACGAAGCGUGAGUGACGGUAAUGGGUAAAGAAGCACCGGCUAACUACGUG